rnacentral:lncRNA from 1 species
AUCAAUCUUGCAAAAGUAAGCCAUUCAACCAUAAUUAAUCAAUUGAAAUAAUCAAUUAAGCUAUUAAUUAAACAUAAAUGAGGGUUGUAGUGGCCCAAAUUCAUUUGGCCCAAACAAAACAAAAACCAAAAAAAUAAUAUUAAUAUCAAAGUCCAUUUACAAAAAAAAAAUAGAUUGGCCCAAAUUACAAGCCCAAACCUAAACUAUCCUAACCCAAACCUGCUAAACCCAAUAAUCCAACAACCCAAUGGCCCAAAACCUAAACAUUUUUAGAAACCCUAUCCCCCUCUCGCGCUGCAGCCUCGCCACG